rnacentral:rRNA from 1 species
AUACGUAGGUGACAAGCGUUAUCCGGAUUUACUGGGCGUAAAGGGCGUGUAGGCGGUCUUGCAAGUCAGAAGUGAAAUUCCUGAGCUCAACUCGGGCGCUGCUUCUGAAACUGCAGGACUUGAGUGCUGGAGGGGAUAGCGGAAUUCCUAGUGGAGCGGUAAAAUGCGCAGAUAUUAGGAAGAACACCGGUGGCGAAGGCGGCUAUCUGGACAGUAACUGACGCUGAGGCGCGAAAGCGUGGGGAGCAAACAGGAUUAGAUACCCUAGUAGUCCACGCCGUAAACGAUGAAUACUAGGUGUAGGGGGUAUCGACUCCCUCUGUGCCGCAGUUAACACAAUAAGUAUUCCGCCUGGGGAGUACGGCCGCAAGGUUGAAACUCAAAUGAAUUGACGGGG